rnacentral:rRNA from 1 species
UAGGGAAUCUUCGGCAAUGGACGGAAGUCUGACCGAGCAACGCCGCGUGAGUGAAGAAGGUUUUCGGAUCGUAAAGCUCUGUUGUAAGAGAAGAACGAGUGUGAGAGUGGAAAGUUCACACUGUGACGGUAUCUUACCAGAAAGGGACGGCUAACUACGUGCCAGCAGCCGCGGUAAUACGUAGGUCCCGAGCGUUGUCCGGAUUUAUUGGGCGUAAAGCGAGCGCAGGCGGUUAGAUAAGUCUGAAGUUAAAGGCUGUGGCUUAACCAUAGUACGCUUUGGAAACUGUUUAACUUGAGUGCAAGAGGGGAGAGUGGAAUUCCAUGUGUAGCGGUGAAAUGCGUAGAUAUAUGGAGGAACACCGGUGGCGAAAGCGGCUCUCUGGCUUGUAACUGACGCUGAGGCUCGAAAGCGUGGGGAGCAAACAGGAUUAGAUACCCUGGUAGUCCACGCCGUAAACGAUGAGUGCUAGGCGUUAGACCCUUUCCGGGGUUUAGUGCCGCAGCUAACGCAUUAAGCACUCCGCCUGGGGAGUACGACCGCAAGGUUG